rnacentral:rRNA from 1 species
CAUGCAUGUCUAAGUAUAAGCACUUAUACUGUGAAACUGCGAAUGGCUCAUUAAAUCAGUUAUCGUUUAUUUGAUAGUACCUUACUACAUGGAUACCUGUGGUAAUUCUAGAGCUAAUACAUGCUAAAAACCCCGACUUCGGAAGGGGUGUGUUUAUUAGAUAAAAAACCAAUGCCCUUCGGGGCUCCUUGGUGAUUCAUAAUAACCUCUCAGAUCGCAUAGCCUUGAGCUGGCGACGGUUCAUUCAAAUUUCUGCCCUAUCAACUUUCGAUGGUAAGGUAUUGGCUUACCAUGGUUUCUACGGGUAACGGGGAAUUAGGGUUCGAUUCCGGAGAGUUAGCCUGAGAAACGGCUAACACAUCCAAGGAAGGCAGCAGGCGCGCAAAUUACCCAAUCCUGAUACAGGGAGGUAGUGACAAUAAAUACUGAUAGGGAGCUCUUUUGGGUUUCCUAAUUGGAAUGAGUACAAUUUAAACCUCUUAACGAGGAACAAUUGGAGGGCAAGUCUGGUGCCAGCAGCCGCGGUAAUUCCAGCUCCAAUAGCGUAUAUUAAAGUUGUUGCAGUUAAAAAGCUCGUAGUUGAACCUUGGGCCUCGCUGGCAGGUCCGCCUCACCGCGUGUACUUGUCCGGCCGGGCCUUUCCUUCUGGAGAACCGCAUGCUCUUCACUGGGUGUGUUGGGGAACCAGGACUUUUACUUUGAAAAAAUUAGAGUGUUCAAAGCAGGCCUUUGCUCGAAUAUUACAGCAUGGAAUAAUAGAAUAGGACGUCGGUUCUAUUUUGUUGGUUUCUAGGACCGCCGUAAUGAUUAAUAGGGACAGUCGGGGGCAUCAGUAUUCAAUGGUCAGAGGUGAAAUUCUUGGAUUCUUUGAAGACUAACUACUGCGAAAGCAUUUGCCAAGGAUGUUUUCAUUAAUCAGUGAACGAAAGUUAGGGGAUCGAAGACGAUCAGAUACCGUCGUAGUCUUAACCAUCAACUAUGCCGACUAGGGAUCGGGCGGUGUUAUUAUUUUGACUCGCUCGGCACCUUACGAGAAAUCAAAGUGUUUGGGUUCUGGGGGGAG